UAGGGAGCGAAGCAAUUGGAAGUGGUUCCAAGAAAAGCCUCUAAGCUUCAGUCUAACGAUGACCGUACCGCAAACCGACACAGGUGGGCGAGAUGAGUAUUCUAAGGCGCUUGAGAGAACUCGGGAGAAGGAACUCGGCAAAUUGGUACCGUAACUUCGGGAUAAGGUACGCCCUUGUAGCUUGAUGCGCCUGCGCGCAGAGGGUGAAGGGGUUGCAAUAAACUGGUGGCUGCGACUGUUUAAUAAAAACACAGCACUCUGCAAACACGAAAGUGGACGUAUAGGGUGUGACGCCUGCCCGGUGCCGGAAGAUUAAAUGAUGGGGUGCAAGCUCUUGAUUGAAGUCCCGGUAAACGGCGGCCGUAACUAUAACGGUCCUAAGGUAGCGAAAUUCCUUGUCGGGUAAGUUCCGACCUGCACGAAUGGCGUAACGAUGGCCACACUGUCUCCUCCCGAGACUCAGCGAAGUUGAAGUGUUUGUGAUGAUGCAAUCUACCCGCGGCUAGACGGAAAGACCCCAUGAACCUUUACUGUAGCUUUGCAUUGGACUUUGAACCGAUCUGUGUAGGAUAGGUGGGAGGCUAUGAAACCGGAACGCUAGUUUCGGUGGAGCCGUCCUUGAAAUACCACCCUGGUUUGUUUGAGGUUCUAACCUUGGCCCGUGAUCCGGGUCGGGGACAGUGCAUGGUAGGCAGUUUGACUGGGGCGGUCUCCUCCCAAAGCGUAACGGAGGAGUACGAAGGUACGCUAGGUACGGUCGGAAAUCGUGCUGAUAGUGCAAUGGCAUAAGCGUGCUUAACUGCGAGACCGACAAGUCGAGCAGGUGCGAAAGCAGGUCAUAGUGAUCCGGUGGUUCUGUAUGGAAGGGCCAUCGCUCAACGGAUAAAAGGUACUCUGGGGAUAACAGGCUGAUACCGCCCAAGAGUUCAUAUCGACGGCGGUGUUUGGCACCUCGAUGUCGGCUCAUCUCAUCCUGGGGCUGUAGCCGGUCCCAAGGGUAUGGCUGUUCGCCAUUUAAAGAGGUACGUGAGCUGGGUUUAAAACGUCGUGAGACAGUUUGGUCCCUAUCUGCCGUGGGCGUUGGAUAUUUGAAGGGGGCUGCUCCUAGUACGAGAGGACCGGAGUGGACGAACCUCUGGUGUACCGGUUGUCACGCCAGUGGCAUCGCCGGGUAGCUAUGUUCGGAAGAGAUAACCGCUGAAAGCAUCUAAGCGGGAAACUCGCCUUAAGAUGAGAUAUCCCUGGGGACUAGAUCCCCUUGAAGGGUCGUUCGAGACCAGGACGUUGAUAGGUCAGGUGUGUAAGCGCAGUAAUGCGUUCAGCUAACUGAUACUAAUUGCCCGUAAGGCUUGAUCCU
rnacentral:rRNA from 1 species